GUAUUUGUGUUUCAGUGGUAGAAUUCUCGCCUUCCAUGCAGGAGACCUGGGUUCGAUUCCUGGCCAAUACA
rnacentral:tRNA from 1 species